rnacentral:misc_RNA from 1 species
CAGAAUCGGGUCUGGUUUAUUAAAAGACGUUUUGAUAGACUCGGAUCCGGGUUUAUUAAACGACGUUUUGAUAGACUAAAUUCUGGACUGAUAAAGCGAAAUUUGGACCGUCUUAACUCCGGAUUUAUCAAACGACAAAGACUAGACCGACUUGGUUCAGGAUUUAUUAAGCGAGAGGAGAUGGAUAAACGAAGGUUAGAUCGCUUAGGAUCUGGUUUUCUAUGAAAACAAAAAUAUUCAAAAUCUCGUUUAUGAUUUUAUAAACGUUGAAUCUAGAUUUGCUAUAGACAGAAAGCAGAGAUGGCGCCGAAAAAUAAAAGAUAAACAGUUAUUUUUCAUAAGAUAUUAAAAAUUGAUUGUAAUUAACACAAACAAUAAAAAAUUUCUUCGUAUAUAAAGUAUUGCGCAAUGUCAGGAAUAAACGUUAACAAUUAAAAAAAAAAACCAUUUAUCAUAUUGCUGUUCGUUAUGUAUUGCAUAGGAUUGUGUAAACAUAUCAUUGUGUUUUUGACUGCAAUAAUUUUUAUUCUGAUGUAAUGAAAGCUAUUUUAAAAAUCAAAAACAUAAUAAAUCUUAGAAUUACC